CGCCUGGCCCUGCAACAUCACUUUUAGCAAACGUGACUAUUUCGAAGUCAUUGGAAGCACAGAAGAACCUGGCAAAGUGUUCCCUUGGAGCUAAGACCUCCUCCACACCUGCCCUGUGCCCUCGCCACGCCUCUGGACUUAAAAGUGGAGGUGGAGGGAUUACUCACAGCACUGGAGCAGCACCAGGACCACAAAGCCUGAAGAGAAAUCCAGGAUGAGACCCCUGCAAGUGCAUCCUGCCCUUCCGCCCUGCUCCCUCCCCCAAGCAACUGAGACCCACCUCCCCCACCCCCACCUCCUGGUUGCAGCCUCAGUCCCUCCCCUGGCUCUGCUUCUCCUCCCCCUCUGCCCACUCCCUUAGUCCCUCACCCAGCAGGCAGAUGGCUCUGCGGGCUGUCUGGGCCUGAAAACCCACAACUCUGAUGGAUUAACCUUGGCUAGCCCAGAUACCUGUUUGAGACGCCUUCACACCCAUUCUGGCUGCAGCAGAGCAGGGCAGGGUGUGGCCUCUUCCCUUGCCCACGGCUCCUGGUGCCAGCUACCUAGACAGGGCCUCUUCCCCAGGCCCUGUACUUCCUUUAUAUACCUGUCCCACUCCACUCCCCGACGCGGCAAACCAGCCCUUUUAUGGGAACUGAGCUAUGUGUCAAUGAAGGAAUCACGAGGCUGGCAAGUGGAGGCGGGGGAGUACUAUGGAUUACCAGAGGAGGGUUGAGAAACCGCAGAGUUUUGAAAACUUUGGGUCAGGUCUUCAUGAGGCACCUGCCAGCAGAAGAGCCACUAGGGUGAUGAUGGGGGGCUUCUGGAGAUGUGACUCAGCCGCAUUUCCCAGCCUUCCUCCCACUCCUGCACCCCACCACUGGCCUUUCUUGCCAGCAAUUUCCUGGCUUUUCUGGCAGCCUCUACCUUUGCAUCUUCAGCAUUCACUCCAGGCCCCUGGCCAGGUGGAAACUGGGCACAAUUUAGUUACGUAAGCCACAGUGCCCUAAACAAGGCUGUUGUUUUCUUCCCAGGCUCAGCAUUGCCCUGCUUGACCUACCUUCCUACCCUCCCCCUCACACUUUCUGUCUUCAGGCUGGGUAAGGGCCAGAGAGCCUCGGGAG
rnacentral:lncRNA from 1 species